AACCAUGUGUUUUUGACUUUUUGACGUUUGAAUCGACUCUCAUUCAGUGUAUUCUUAAAGGUAUAUAUAUAUAGAUCGAGUUUUAAACGCAAUAAAACUUUUGAAGCCUUAAUUAAUUCAAUUAAAAAAAAAUUUAAGUUUUCUAUUUGAGGAAAAAAAAAAAAAAUUUAAGUCGUUCCGAGAUGACAUGGACACGAGGACCCCACUUUCAUCUCGCCUACCCUUAUUUGCCAGCCUGUUAUUAUUAUUUAAAAACAAAAUAUGUUCACGUUAAUUACACGUGUAACUUUACAUGUCGUC
rnacentral:lncRNA from 1 species